rnacentral:tRNA from 1 species
GAUUUUGCCGGAUGUUCGGCAGCGGGCGUCGUAGCGGGGAGCACAUAACAUCCGGAGCAGACGCGGCCCGA